rnacentral:rRNA from 1 species
AAUCAACGCUGGCGGCGUGCCUAACACAUGCAAGUCGAACGAGAAAGUGACUUCGGUCACUGGAUAGUGGCGUCCGGGUGAGUAACACGUAGGUAAUCUACCUUCGGGUGGGGAAUAACUCGCCGAAAGGCGAGCUAAUACCGCAUAAUGCAGCGGCACCUAAUGGUGAUUAGUUGUUAAAGCGGGGGAUCUUCGGACCUCGCGCCUGAAGAGGAGCCUGCGGCAGAUAGCUAGUUGGUGAGGUAAUGGCUCACCAAGGCUUCGAUCUGUAGCUGGUCUGAGAGGACGGCCAGCCACACUGGCACUGACACACGGGCCAGACUCCUACGGGAGGCAGCAGUGGGGAAUUUUGGGCAAUGGGCGAAAGCCUGACCCAGCAACGCGCGUGAAGGAGGAAAUCCUUCGGGAUGUAACUUCAUAAGUAAGGAGAAAGCUGCGGAUUGAAUAAAUCCGCAGUCCGACGGUACCUUACGUAAGCCACGGCUAACUACGUGCCA